rnacentral:rRNA from 1 species
GACGAACGCUGGCGGCGUGCUUAACACAUGCAAGUCGUACGGUAAGGCCCUUUCGGGGGUACACGAGUGGCGAACGGGUGAGUAACACGUGAGUAACCUGCCCACAACUUUGGGAUAACGCUAGGAAACUGGUGCUAAUACUGGAUAUGUGCUCCUGCUGCAUGGUGGGGGUUGGAAAGCUCAGGCGGUUGUGGAUGGACUCGCGGCCUAUCAGCUUGUUGGUGGGGUAGUGGCCUACCAAGGCGGCGACGGGUAGCCGGCCUGAGAGGGUGACCGGCCACAUUGGGACUGAGAUACGGCCCAGACUCCUACGGGAGGCAGCAGUGGGGAAUAUUGCACAAUGGGCGCAAGCCUGAUGCAGCACCGCCGCGUGCGGGAUGACGGCCUUCGGGUUGUAACCCGCUUUCAGCAGGGACGAAGCUUUUUGUGACGGUACCUGCAGAAGAAGCACCGGCUAACUACGUG